UAGAAUGAACCACCAGUUGGAGAACAAUUCUCUAUGUGUAAAGCAAUGAAUUCUCCAGAAGCUGAUAGCACGGGGGUAUUGUGAUGACGUCUUCAUUCAAAGAUGAAAAGCUGAAGUUUCUUUGCAAGUUGAAGAAGUACGAAGAAAUGUCUUGGGAAUGUUAACAUCCUGCUGUCCUGAAGUAAUGAUGAAUACAGAUCUUGUCCAUUGGUGGGCGUGUCCCUUGAGUGAGGAUUUUGCUGCCUUUGUGAUGUUGGCGAGAAUUUGUUUUUAAAUGAAGAAUAUUUCCUUAGUGAGUAGGCUUUUCUCAAGAUCUUGUGGAUCAACAAACAAAGCAGCAGCAAGCCCCACCAAUAAUAAGGUGUAUUUAAGGAGCAUCACAGAAGCCAUUUCUGAAAAAUCAAUUGCAUCUUAACUAAUGUUCUGUGAAGCAAAGGGCAGAAGAGGAAUUGUGCAGUUACCUCUGAUCUUCAAAAGAACCUAGAGAAGGAAACACAGUAUUACGCUUAUUUACAUCUCAGCCUCCAGCAAGAUGAAGCUUGACCUCAGGUUGGCUCUAAAGUCACAAGCUAAAAGGAACAGUUAUGUAACGGAGAAUGGCUACAAUUAACUGUAACCAAACAGAAGGCUGUGAUGAAGGUAUCCAGGAAAAAAUGCAUAUGGAUUUAUUAAAUUAUAUCUCCCUUUUUAAUUGCUCUCACUGCUAGACUGCUAGCAACAACAACAACAAAAGGCAGAAAUUUUGUCCUGAUACAAGUGUUAUUCUUUGU